rnacentral:rRNA from 1 species
AACGGGUGAGUAAUGCGUGACCAACCUGCCCCAUGCUCCAGAAUAGCUCUUGGAAACGGGUGGUAAUGCUGGAUGCUCCAACUUGACGCAUGUCUUGUUGGGAAAGUGUUUAGUGGCAUGGGAUGGGGUCGCGUCCUAUCAGCUUGUAGGCGGGGUAAUGGCCCACCUAGGCUUCGACGGUAGCCGGCCUGAGAGGGCGGACGGCCACAUUGGGACUGAGAUACGGCCCAGACUCCUACGGGAGGCAGCAGAG